UAAUAUGAGAGUUUGAUCUUGGCUCAGGAUGAACGCUGGCGGCGUGCCUAAUACAUGCAAGUCGAACGAACUUCCGUUAAUUGAUUAUGACGUACUUGUACUGAUUGAGAUUUUAACACGAAGUGAGUGGCGAACGGGUGAGUAACACGUGGGUAACCUGCCCAGAAGUAGGGGAUAACACCUGGAAACAGAUGCUAAUACCGUAUAACAGAGAGAACCGCAUGGUUUUCUUUUAAAAGAUGGCUCUGCUAUCACUUCUGGAUGGACCCGCGGCGUAUUAGCUAGUUGGUGAGGUAAAGGCUCACCAAGGCAGUGAUACGUAGCCGACCUGAGAGGGUAAUC
rnacentral:rRNA from 1 species